ACCAACGCUGGCGGCGUGCUUAACACAUGCAAGUCGAACGGAAAGGCCCUGCUUUUGUGGGGUGCUCGAGUGGCGAACGGGUGAGUAACACGUGAGUAACCUGCCCUUGACUUUGGGAUAACUUCAGGAAACUGGGGCUAAUACCGGAUAGGAGCUCCUGCUGCAUGGUGGGGGUUGGAAAGUUUCGGCGGUUGGGGAUGGACUCGCGGCUUAUCAGCUUGUUGGUGGGGUAGUGGCUUACCAAGGCUUUGACGGGUAGCCGGCCUGAGAGGGUGACCGGCCACAUUGGGACUGAGAUACGGCCCAGACUCCUACGGGAGGCAGCAGUGGGGAAUAUUGCACAAUGGGCGGAAGCCUGAUGCAGCAACGCCGCGUGCGGGAUGACGGCCUUCGGGUUGUAAACCGCUUUCGCCUGUGACGAAGCGUGAGUGACGGUAAUGGGUAAAGAAGCACCGGCUAACUACGUG
rnacentral:rRNA from 1 species